UUUUAUGGAGAGUUUGAUCCUGGCUCAGGAUGAACGCUGGCGGCGUGCCUAAUACAUGCAAGUCGAGCGAACGGACGAGAAGCUUGCUUCUCUGAUGUUAGCGGCGGACGGGUGAGUAACACGUGGAUAACCUACCUAUAAGACUGGGAUAACUUCGGGAAACCGGAGCUAAUACCGGAUAAUAUUUUGAACCGCAUGGUUCAAAAGUAAAAGACGGUCUUGCUGUCACUUAUAGAUGGAUCCGCGCUGCAUUAGCUAGUUGGUAAGGUAACGGCUUACCAAGGCAACGAUGCAUAGCCGACCUGAGAGGGUGAUCGGCCAC
rnacentral:rRNA from 1 species